UACUAUAGUUAAAGUAAAAAAUUAACCAGAGUAUUAAUAGUUAUUUUCUUUAAAUUCAAAGAAUUUGGCGGUAUUUUAGUCCUUUUAGAGGAACCUGUUUCGUAAACGACAUACCACGAAAAUCUUACCUAUUUUUAAAUAUGUUUGUAUACCGUCAUUAUCAGAUAACUUUGAUAAAAUUAGUUAUUAUAAUUAAAAUAAGUUAAAUAAAUUAGAUCAAGGUGCAGCAUAUAAAUAGGAGAAAAUGGGUUACAAUAAAAAUGAUUUAAACGGACUUGUUUUUGAAAUUUAAACAAUAAAGGUGGAUUUAAUUGUAAGAUUAUAAAUUUUAGUAUUCUGAUAUAGGCUCUAAAAUAU
rnacentral:rRNA from 1 species